UUUGUGGGGAAUGUUGGCUGGCUCGAGGCAGCAUCCGCGUCCUAGCCUGCUGUUGCCGGUCGUUUUGCCUGCUACCGGUCGGCCGGACAGAUCGAGGCGUCGGACCAGGCUUCAUUCCUCGCAAA
rnacentral:pre_miRNA from 1 species